rnacentral:misc_RNA from 1 species
GGCGCUUCUUGUCAUUGCUUUGCUUCGUCGAAACUCUGUCCUUUCCUUUAUCAUUUUUGCCACUGCCCUUCUUUUGUUCUGGAGUUGCAUUACCAGCACUGCUACUUCCACCUCUGCCAUUUCUCUUUAUAGUCUCUGCAGGUGAGUUCUGCUUGAUCCUCUUCAAGAAAUCUGCGGCACUACGCUUCUUCUCCAAUGCUACUGUUUCAGAUUUCUUCUUAUCU